GUCUUAUUUUGAACCACAAACAUUUUCACUUUCAUAACAACAUAUAAUGUAGUAUGUUUAUCUGAAAGAUGAGCCCUUCACACUCUAGAAGUCUCAAUGUUUAGAAACAUACACUCUCAGAGUUUCAUUUUAUCUUUUAGCUAGUUUCUGAAGACCCAUUUAGUUCCAAUAACAUGAGUUCUUUGUGUCUAGGCACAAGAUUCAAAACAUAAUUUAUACAGAAUUGGUUAAGUUCUUCUUGCAUUGCUAGAAACCACUCAGUGUCCCGAAAUGCUUCAUCAGCAGCCGAUGUAGACUCUAUGAGGGACAUUAAACCCAAAUAACUAUACCAUAGUCUAAAAUCAAAAUGUUCUCUUUUACCACAAUUGAAAUGUUAAAAAUAAUAAAAAAAACCUCAAAAGACAAAUUUCCCUUUACUAUCUUAAAAGGUCAAAAGAUUUAUUUAUUUAUGUAACCUCCUUAUAUAUACAUGAUGUAGCAAGAAACAAACACAACACACUAUUAAUAAUUAUCAAUAUAUAAAGGGCCUUUACAAAUUUAAAUUGCAAAAUAUUCUAUUUAAUUAUUUAUAAGAGAGCAUGAACUUCUUUCUCAGACUUUUCUAUUUUUUUAUUUUAUAUUGUUCCUUAGUUCUUAUCGCAACACAAGUUGUUGGAGUUAAAACUGCAUGUAGAACUGAUGCUGAUUGUGACAAAUUUGACAAAUCAGAUUUUAAUGGUGAAACUAUUGUAUGCAUGUACGGCUAUUGUUCAGUUAAAGGGAGUAAAGGGUGGAUCGAUAUUCCAGUUUUUAAGAAAGAAUGAGCUACGGUGUCAGAACAAAUAAUAUAUCUUAAUAUUUAAUAUGUAAUAAACUUUUUAUAUUUUUUUUAUUUCCUAACCUUUGCCUUUAUGAUUUUUAACUCUAAAAUGAUGGUAAGACAAUAAAAAAUAAUAUUUAAAUUGUCUUAUUAUCUCAUUUAGAAUUAUUAUAAAUGUAAAUGUUUGUUAUAGGAUUCAAUCCUUGAAGGUAACUUUAAUUUUAAUCUAUAUUUAUGUAUUGAUGUAAAUAAGUUUUUGAUAUUUAUAAAUCAAGAACAUUAAAUAAAAAUUUAUGUAUUUUACAAAUAUAUUUCCAA